rnacentral:rRNA from 2 species
GCUCAGAAUGAACGCUGGCGGCAUGCCUAACACAUGCAAGUCGAACGAGACCUUCGGGUCUAGUGGCGCACGGGUGCGUAACGCGUGGGAAUCUGCCCUUAGGUUCGGAAUAACAGCGAGAAAUUGCUGCUAAUACCGGAUGAAGUCUUCGGACCAAAGAUUUAUCGCCUAGGGAUGAGCCCGCGUAGGAUUAGCUAGUUGGUGUGGUAAAGGCGCACCAAGGCGACGAUCCUUAGCUGGUCUGAGAGGAUGAUCAGCCACACUGGGACUGAGACACGGCCCAGACUCCUACGGGAGGCAGCAGUGGGGAAUAUUGGACAAUGGGCGCAAGCCUGAUCCAGCAAUGCCGCGUGAGUGAUGAAGGCCUUAGGGUUGUAAAGCUCUUUUACCCGGGAUGAUA